UCACAAUCAGCCAUGCUGUGGGCAGUGCCUUACUCAGAAAGGUGCCAGUCACUUACACUACAUGUCACUGUGUCCUUUCUGCGUAGAGUAAGGCUCACUAAGUACAAGUUUGUGGUG
rnacentral:precursor_RNA from 1 species